GAUGAAGAACGUAGCGAAAUGCGAUAAGUAGUGUGAAUUGCAGAAUUCAGUGAAUCAUCGAAUCUUUGAACGCACAUUGCGCCCCUUGGUAUUCCAUGGGGCAUGCCUGUUCGAGCGUCAUUUGUACCUUCAAGCUUUGCUUGGUGUUGGGUGUUUGUCUCGCCUUUGCGUGUAGACUCGCCUUAAAAUAAUUGGCAGCCGGCGUAUUGAUUUCGGAGCGCAGUACAUCUCGCGCUUUGCACUCAUAACGACAGCGUCCAAAAGUACAUUUUACACUCUUGACCUCGGAUCAGGUAGGGAUACCCGCUGAACUUAAGCAUAUCAAUAAGCAGGA
rnacentral:misc_RNA from 1 species